rnacentral:rRNA from 1 species
AGAGUUUGAUCCUGGCUCAGGAUGAACGCUGGCGGCGUGCCUAAUACAUGCAAGUCGAGCGGUAAGGUUCUGCACUCAGUAUUUGACCAGUUUUUAAUCUGAAAGAUAUUUUUUAAGGCUAAAGAAUAUUGUCGAAUUAUGAGUGUAGAAUACACGAGCGGCGGACGGCUGAGUAACGCGUGGGAACGUACCCCAAAGUGAGGAAUAACUGCCCGAAAGGGUAGCUAAUGCCGCAUAUGAUCUACGGAUUAAAGGAUUUAUCCGCUUUGGGAGCGGCCUGCGUAAGAUUAGCUAGUUGGUGAGGUAAAAGCUCACCAAGGCGACGAUCUUUAGCUGGUCUGGAGACACGGCCCAGACUCCUACGGGAGGCAGCAGUAGGGAAUUUUCCACAAUGGACGAAAGUCUGAUGGAGCAACGCCGCGUGCAGGAUGACGGCCUUCGGGUUGUAAACUGCUUUUGUGAGUGAAGAUUUAAGACAGUAACUCAAGAAUAAGGGUCGGCUAACUACGUGCCAGCAGCCGCGGUCAUACGUAGGACCCAAGCGUUAUCCGGAAUUACUGGGCGUAAAGAGUUGCGUAGGUGGUUUAUUAAGCAGAACAUGAAAUAGUACGGCUCAACCGUAUAAACAUAUUCUGAACUGAUAGACUAGAGGGCGAGAGAGGUUAUUGGAAUUUCUUGUGUAGGAGUGAAAUCCGUAGAUAUAAGAAGGAACACCGAUGGCGUAGGCAGAUAACUGGCUCGCACCUGACACUAAGGCACGAAAGCGUGGGGAGCAAACGGGAUUAGAUACCCCGGUAGUCCACGCCGUAAACUAUGGAUGCUAGCUGUUGGUCGUAUCGACCCGAUCCGAAGCUAACGCGUUAAGCAUCCCGCCUGUGGAGUACGAGCGCAAGCUUAAAACAUAAAGGAAUUGACGGGGACCCGCACAAGCGGUGGAGCGUGUUGUUUAAUUCGAUGAUAAGCGAAGAACCUUACCCAGGCUUGACAUCCUUGAAAGGACUACGAAAGUAGACUGUGCCUUUUGGAAUCAAGUGACAGGUGUUGCAUGGCCGUCGUCAGCUCGUGUCGUGAGAUGUUUGGUUAAGUCCAUCAACGAGCGCAACCCUU